rnacentral:rRNA from 1 species
UACAGAGGCCUCGAGCGUUAGGCGGAAUCACUGGGCUUAAAGCGUGUGUAGGCGGAUGUCUAAGUACCUUGUGAAAUCCCAUGGCUUAACCAUGGAAUUGCUUGGUAUACUGGAUGUCUUGAGCCAGCUAGGGGCAACCGGAACAAAUGGUGGAGCGGUGAAAUGCGUAGAUAUCAUUUGGAACGCCAAUGGUGAAAACAGGUUGCUGGGGCUGUGCUGACGCUGAGACACGAAAGCCAGGGGAGCGAACGGG